GCUCACCUGGCUCGAAGGGCCAAGUGAGCUUUUCUCAUCACUUGGCGUCCGUCGUCCGUCGUCGUCGUUAACUUUUUAUAUUUUGAACUUCUUCUAGAGAACCACUGAAUGGAAUGAAACCAAACAUGGCAUGAAUGUUCCUUAUGAGGUGCUGACCAAGUAUUGUUACUUUGUAGCGGAUCCAUCAUCCAAGAUGGCCGCCAGCAGGGGACUUAGUUUAACAUAGGACCCUAUGGGAAAUACAUACAAAUGUCUUCUUUUAGAGAACCACUGAAUGGAAUGAAACCAAACAUGGCAUGAAUGUUCCUUAUGAGGUGCUGACCAAGUGUUGUUACUUUGAAGCUGAUCCAUUAUCCAAGAUGGAUGCCAGCAGGGGACUUAGUUUAACAUGGGACCCUAUAGGAAAUACAUACAAAUGUCUUCUUUUAGAGAACCACUGAAUGGAAUGAAACCAAACAUGGCAUGAAUGUUCCUUAUGAGGUGCUGACCAAGUGUUGUUACUAUGAAGCCGAUCCAUAAUCCAAGAUGGCCGCCAGCAGGGGACUUAGUUUAACAUUGGACCCUAUGGGAAAUACAUACAAAUGUCUUCUUUUAGAGAACCACUGAAUGGAAUGAAACCAAACAUGGCAUGAAUGUUUCUUAUGAGGUGCUGACCGAAUGUUGUUACUUUGAAGCCGAUCCAUAAUCCAAGAUGGCCGCCAGCAGGGGACUUUGUUUAACAUGGGACCCUAUGAGAAAUACAUAUAAAUGUCUUCUUUUAAAGAACCACUGAAUGGAAUGAAACCAAACAUGGCAUGAAUGUUCCUUAUGAGGUGCUGACCAAGUGUUGUUACUUUGUAGCCGAUCCAUCAUCCAAGAUGGCCGCCAGCGGGGGACUUAGUUUAACAAAGGACCCUAUGGGAAAUACAUACAAAUGUCUUCUUUUAGAGAACCACUGAAUGGAAUGAAACAAAACAUGGCAUGAAUGUUCCUUAUGAGGUGCUGACCAAGUGUUGUUACUUUGCAGUCGGUCCAUCAUCCAAGAUGGCCGCCAGCGGGUGACUUAGUUUAACAUAGGACCCUAAGGGAAAUACAUUCAAAUGUCUUCUUUUAGAGAACCAGUGAAUGGAAUGAAACCAAAUAUGGCAUGAAUGUUCCUUAUGAGGUGCUGACCAAGUGUUGUUACUUUGAAGCCGAUCCAUAAUCCAAGAUGGCCGCCAGCGGGGGACUUAGUUUAACAAAGGACCCUAUGGGAAAUACAUACAAAUGUCUUCUUUUAGAGAACCACUGAAUGGAAUGAAACAAAACAUGGCAUGAAUGUUCCUUAUGAGGUGCUGACCAAGUGUUGUUACAUUGCAGCGGAUCCAUCAUCCAAGAUGGCCACCAGGGGGGACUUAGUUUAACAUAGGACCCUUUGGGAAAUACAUACAAAUGUCUCCUUUAGAGUACCACUGAAUGGAAUGAAACCAAACAUGGCAUGAAUGUUCCUUAUGAGGUGCUGACCAAGUGUUGCUUCUUUGUUGCCGAUUUACUGUUCAAGAUGGCCACCAGGAUAUUUUAUUAAAUAACGGGGACCAAUAUUAAACCAAAUUUGGCCUCAAUCAUUAUUUGGGUAUCUGUUAUGAUUUUUAUCUAUCUUUACAUGAUUUCUGAAACCAAAGUAGAGUCAGGUGAGCGACACAGGCUCUUGAGAGCCUCU